rnacentral:rRNA from 1 species
CAGCCGCCGCGGUAAUACGAAGGGGGCUAGCGUUGCUCGGAAUUACUGGGCGUAAAGGGAGCGUAGGCGGAUCGUUAAGUUGGGGGUGAAAGCCCGGGGCUCAACCUCGGAAUUGCCUUCAAUACUGGCGAUCUUGAGUAUGGAAGAGGUAUGUGGAACUCCGAGUGUAGAGGUGAAAUUCGUAGAUAUUCGGAAGAACACCAGUGGCGAAGGCGACAUACUGGUCCAUUACUGACGCUGAGGCUCGAAAGCGUGGGGAGCAAACAGGAUUAGAUACCCCAGUAGUCCCUGUCUCUUAUAC